rnacentral:lncRNA from 1 species
GCCAUCUCCUGACUGAGGCGGUUGCACCGCUCAGCCAGAGCUCGGAGACCGAGCCCAAGCGGUGCCACCUCUAUCAGGGGAGGUUGCACCGCCCAGUCUCGCUCGGAGACUUAGCCCAGGUGGUGCCACCUCCUGGCUUGGGCGGUUCAACCGCCUGGCAGAAAUUAGGGUCUGAAUGGGUUGAUCCAUUCGGCCCAAUUUGGGUUUUUC